CUACAGCUUGGUCAUUAAUCCCAUUAAAAUUCCAUUGUUGGACGGUUACACGAGCCAUUAUACCUGAUAAUCAAUUUCUGACGUUACACGUUACAGGAACCUCUUGGGGUGUUACUACAUAUAUCACCUGAUAGGUUGUCAUCUUUACAGGUUUCUCCGUUUCUUUCUUCAGCAUACUCUCUCAUUUUUUUUUUGUUAAGUCCAACAGCACUCUCUCAAGAAUAUGAGGUAACUACUAUCUUAAUCAGUAUAAUUUUGUUUUAGACUUUUAUUUGAUUUAUAUAUUUGAUUGGAUUGGUAAACAACUCUGAGACCUGUAUACCAAAAAACUAAGUAUUCUCUUUUGGGAGACGAAGAAGAACAUGAAACUCACUAAGUAUCGAUUUUUUUUAAUGUUUUCCUCAUUAAUAGAACAACAUUCUCUAAUGAAGAAGAAUCACGGUACUCUCUUCGUUAUCGGUUUUUUCUCUAGAAUUUGUACUUUCUGCAGAGGAGAGCAGUAGUAGAAUAAGAUUGGUGGUUAGUCAUGCUAAAGCAGCAGUAAGUAUUGCUGUUAUGUAAAAUUACUGUUACACAUUCAGAACUGCACGUCAUGUAUCUGUGGAAAUGCCUGACUGAAGAAAGUAGUGAUGCAAGUUAUUCUAUUCUCUUAAUCAGGUGCAAUAUAUGUAAAUGAAUGCAAUGCAUCUAUCCACUACUCAGGGAAACUCCACCUUAGAAAAUAUUCUUGAAAUGCUAAAAGAUACUAUUGAUCCAGCCAAAGCCAUGUAUAUAUUUGUAUCAAGAGGACAAAUUUGAUGGUGACAACAUUGCUCAAAUGAUAGUGGCUUUGACAAGCAAAUUGUUUAGAUGGUGAUGAAAUUAUGCUCUGAGCGUGGGAUUUGCUUUAUGUGAGUCUCUCAUGGAAUCUUCAUCUCCUAACACCAAUAAUAUGGCGCGUAAAACCUUCACUAAUACCAAACCACUUCCAUCUCAACCAGAAGCCUUGCUUGCGCACUUGCUUGAGUAAAAUCACAACAGAUCAUCAACCAGAAGAAAAAAAAACUCUCUGAACUUUUGUUGGCAAAUCGGGACCUUGAAGUAGCAGAGUAAAAAACAACUUAGGGGAACAUAAAAUGGUACAAAUCAUGAUAAUGAUACUCAUACAUUGCAAAAUGUAAAUGCCAAAUGCGCUGAAUAUGCGGCUUUAGCAAGGAGGGGAUGGAAUUUGGGCUUGGAUAGGCGGCUAUCUCCCUCGACAACAGAUUGCUAGCAGCAAUGCUAGCGCUGAGCAGCGGAUGAAAUCCGGCAGAUUUGGUCCUCUCCUUAUCUCUCAUUUGCAACCUUAGAUUCUUUAAUUUUA